UUUUAUGACUAGAGCCUCCGGAGCCACAGCUUCCCGACCUACGUGGAGCUUCCGUCUCUUUUCUGUAUAUAAAUCGCUUCCCCAACCCCAUGCCAAAGAGAACUCCAAAUAACAACACAAGCUUAGCUUUUGCUUUAGAAGUUUCUAGAAUUUAGUUGAUGCUAUUGGAGCUAUCAUGAACUGAUACAGUCCCCGUGGGGAGUGACUGUAUGAGCUCGAACUGGACUUGGACAUUUCUCCAGCCCUCUGUGGUUCCAGUUGAGAAGUUCAAAAUCUUUCAGAGCGACUCAUGCUGCCAGAGGGUGGAGGAGUGGACCUUGAAAUGACAAGUGACAGUUCCUCAGCAGUAGCAUCUCCUGCUUUCUCAGCCUGGUGACCUGACCCGGCAGCACGCCCACUGGGCACCUGUGCCCACCUGGGGAUGGGGUCUCGUCCUGCCUGUGUGACCCUUCCUCCUGACAGCCAUCUCUAGAGACAGCCAGUGAGGGCAGGGCAACAGGCAGUGCAUGUUCUUUCCACAUCUCCAUGACUGAUUCUGGCCAGGAGGAGGCUGGCUUUCUGGAUCCCACCAACAUCACAUAGGGGACCUUUUCAAUCUACCUCCUACCUCCCCUCCAGUCGUGAUUUGAUUCUGGAAUUUAAGAAGCGGAGAAAGAGCCUAGUUCAAAUUCAA
rnacentral:lncRNA from 1 species